UACGUAGGGGGCUAGCGUUGUCCGGAAUUAUUGGGCGUAAAGGGCGCGUAGGCGGCUGAACAAGUCAAAGGUGAAAUCCCUCGGCUCAACUGAGGAACUGCCUUUGAAACUGUUCGGCUUGAGGCCGGGAGAGGUGAGUGGAAUUCCCAGUGUAGCGGUGAAAUGCGUAGAUAUUGGGAGGAACACCAGUGGCGAAGGCGGCUCACUGGACCGGUUCUGACGCUGAGGCGCGAAAGCGUGGGGAGCAAACGGG
rnacentral:rRNA from 1 species